rnacentral:rRNA from 1 species
CGGCGUACUUAACACAUGCAAGUCGGACGAGAAAGGAGACUUCGGUCUCCGAGUACAGUGGCGCACGGGUGCGUAACACGUAAGUAAUCUACCCCCAACUCUGGGAUAACCCUCCGAAAGGAGGGCUAAGACUGGAUAGGGUCCCUGAGGUAGAAGCCGCAGGGGGAAAACGGGCCUCUGGUCUAUGCUCGUGGUUGGGGAUGAGCUUGCGGCCCAUUAGCUAGUUGGUAGGGUAAGGGCCUACCAAGGCGACGAUGGGUAGCUGGUCUGAGAGGAUGAUCAGCCACACUGGCACUGAGACACGGGCCAGACUCCUACGGGAGGCAGCAGUGGGGAAUUUUGCGCAAUGGGCGAAAGCCUGACGCAGUAACGCCGCGUGGAGGAUGAAGGCCUUCGGGUUGUAAACUCCUGUCAGGGGGAACGACAGAGGCGGGGUGAUAAGCCCGGCGCUCUAGACGGUACCUCCAAAGGAAGCCCCGGCUAAUUCCGUGCCAGCAGCCGCGGUAA